AUGACGGUCUUCGGAUUGUAAGCUGCUUUUAUAGAUGAAGAUUAUGACGGUAAUCUAUGAAUAAGGACCGGCUAACUACGUGC
rnacentral:rRNA from 1 species